AAGGCUGAUGAGAUGACCUUUACGAAUAAGGACUCGAAAAUCCUUGCUGACUGUAACUUGGAUAAAUAACCAGCUGGUCUCGAAGCAGUGUUGUUCAUCCAAACUAAAGGUUCUCCUUAGUCAACUGAUUCUACGAAUCUAAUGUUGUUUAUCCAAACUGAAAAUGUGUUGGUGGGAAAAAAGAAAAUAAAAAUCUCAAGGUGUUUGAGAGGUUUGAACAUGGCAGUUGUGUGUUGGAUUGGAGAGGUUUGAAUGAUGCACUCCCUUCUUUAUUUAUAGUAAUGAUUUCCUACAUGGCCGAGGUAGAAUUUCACUUGGACUAGAAUUCCUCAACCCAAUCUCAUUAAGUCUUGACCAAUCCUAACCCUUAUAGGUGAUAGGAGCAUAUUUAUGCGACUUAAUUAGCUUGUUUUCUUGCAUUAUUAUAGUGUUUUAAGCCAUUUUCGUGUGUUUGUAGGUCUAUAUGACAAAGUUGGCAAGAAAGUGCAAUUUGGAGCAUUUUGAGGCAAUUUUGGGCAUCAAAUGGAUAGCUUAUGAAUGGGGGAAGAUGGAUGGACGAAUUUGAAGUUCAAGAGGCUAGGAAUGUGCUGAAAAGAUGAAGGAAAUAAAUCUAAGACAAAGAAGAUAAGGAAUCAGCUCAAAAGAAGGAGAUAUUAUCCAAAACCUUAUCGAACCUUAUCUUAUCCAAACAAACCUUAUCUUAUCCUUGCCUAAACUAGCUUUAUCCUAUCUUAUCUUAUCUAAAUCAGUUUGUGCCUUAAAUCUAGUUGCAAGAGGACCUAAAUAUCUGAUUUCUAGAAGGUCUAUCCUUUCCCUACAUUUAUGCCGCACCCUUAUCCUUCUAGAACCCCUAAAUUGGUGCUAAAACAUCUUUUCUAGAAGCACCUAAAAAUCUGGCACCUCCCCCUCUUCUAGAAGCUCUAGAACCUGAAACCUCAAUCCUUUCCCUCUUGAAUUAGGCCAAAUGUAUCCCUCUCUUUGUAGGAAUUGAUGCCGUACCCUUGCUAUCCUUUUUCCCUUUGGUUUCUGAUUGUUUUAACCCAUUCCACUUAGGUUUUGGUUACACAAUCCUUGUCCCACUUUAAUUUCAGAAACCUAUCCAAAUCCUUAGGGAUUGUGACAUGUAUUUUGGCCUAUAAAUACACAUCCUUACCGCACAAAUCAUUCACCACCCUCUACCAUAUUUUUCUACACGAUUCACCAUACACACCUCAUUGUGCCGUGGCUUUCCAAGGAGAAGGAGCCCUUUGCCGUGCCUUGUCAUUCAACAUAGGAUUGCUAGAGCUUGCUUAGGUGUUUUCUAUCCUUUAAUUGCAAUGUUUAAUUUAAUGUUAUUUUCAGUUUUUAAAGACAUGAGGAACUAAUCUCUUUUUAGUUGGAGGUGAAUUUGAAGCCAUGAUUAUAUGCUUUACAUGAAUUGAUUACAUCAAGUUAUUGUUUUGAAAGUCUUGAAUGUGAUUUGCUUAUCUGAGUUAUUAAAACUUGUUUAUGUAUGUUGAUUGAGGAUGCAUACUUAGUUCGCAUGCAUAAAUUUGAUGCUAGAGUAUAAGGGAUUUUCACCUAACCGGUAUGAACUUAUAUUCACAAGUAGUAAAGGUUGCUAGUCACAAUCGUGUUAAGUAAAAUUCUUUGCAGGACUAUCAUGCUUUAUAGUUACGAAUGCCUCAUCAAUACUUAUGAUUUUCAAAGAACUUAAUGACCUUUGAUAUGUGUCUCUAUCAUGCGUAUUCCAUAGUUAGGGGACUUGAUAACGAUAAUUUCGUUGUGAUGCGUAUCCCGUCCAAUUCAAUGAAAUAAGGAGAAUCUGAUGGUUAAUUUGUGCUAUCACAGUUAACUUGGGGUGUUGUCAUUCAUAGUCUAAAGAAACAAUAUUGGAAAUUGGUUUAUGUUUGCAUAUGUUAUGUGUGGAGAAGGACCCUCUAACUAGCCUUUCACCCUUUUCAAUUCAUCAAAUUCGUUUUUAUUAAGUGUUUUAUGCAAAGUUUCUGUUUUAAGUUUUUAAAUUCGUCAAAAAUAAUCCCCUAUUCAUUAAGUCUUGUUAGUUGAGUUAUAAUCUAUUUUCUUUUAGUCUUUUGAGUCAAGUUAAGUCUUAUUUUCAUCCAAAUCACUCGUUAGGUCUAGAAUUGAGUCUUUUUGAUUGUUUGUUGCUGUUUUGAGUGUUUUAAGUCAGUUUUGAGUCUAUAGAGUCUAAUUUAGUGUUUUUGAGUCUUAUUUGUGUUGAUUAGCAUCCAUAGUUAAUCCCCGGUCUAGAACGAUCCCUACUUGCUUAAUACUACAAUUGUCAUCAAUAGGGUUUAAUUUGUGUGUCAAGUUAAUUUUCACAUCAAAUUUUGGCGCCGUUGCCGGGGAUUAGCAAUUGCUAAUCCCUUGUUUGCCAUGUGUUUUGUGUUCCUUUUACUUUGUUUUCUGAUUUUGUUUUGUUUUCUUUGUUUAGGUCCACUAGUUUAUGACUCGGAGUUCUCAACCGGUUCGUGAACAUAUCUUCGACUUUAAUGACGAUUUUGAACGAGAUUUAAGAAGAAAAAUGAGGCAUCCAGAACCUAGUGAACCUAGUUCAAGUUUAGAGGCCGAAUCUGAAUUUGAAGAAGAAAAAGAAGUCAUGGCAGCGGAUAAUUGUACA
rnacentral:lncRNA from 1 species